rnacentral:sRNA from 1 species
UAAAAAAAAUACUGUACCGCAGACAGUAGGUGCUCUUUGAGCAUAACGUAUACAACCUACCGAGGUCUCUAAUAUAUAGACGGACGUAUGAUGUCACUUUGCCUGCGGAUUUAUGAAAGCAAAGUGCUUUUUUAUUAC